CCAAUAGCGUAUAUUAAAGUUGUUGCAGUUAAAAAGCUCGUAGUUGAAUUUCGGGAUUGACACAUCGGUCGUGCCUUAAGGGGUAUGAACUGGUGUAGUCAAUUUCUCACCUUCUGGAGAACCGCGAUGUCCUUAAUUGGGUGCCGCGAGGAACCAGGACCUUUACUUUGAAAAACUUAGAGUGUUUAAAGCAGGCAUUUUGCUUGAAUACAUUAGCAUGGAAUAAUAAAAUAGGAAGGCAUGAUUCUAUUUUGUUGGUUUCUAGGAUCACCGUAAUGAUUAAUAGGGAUAGUUGGGGGCAUUAGUAUUCAAUUGUCAGAGGUGAAAUUCUUGGAUUUAUUGAAGACUAACUACUGCGAAAGUAUUUGCCAAGGAUGUUUUCAUUAAUCAAGAACGAAAGUUAGGGGAUCGAAGACGAUCAGAUACCGUCGUAGUCUUAACCAUAAACUAUGCCGACUAGGAAUCAGACGAUGUUAAUUUUUUAAUGACUCGUUUGGCACCUUACG
rnacentral:misc_RNA from 1 species